rnacentral:rRNA from 1 species
UACGUAGGGUGCGAGCGUUAAUCGGAAUUACUGGGCGUAAAGCGUGCGCAGGCGGUUUUGUAAGUCAGAUGUGAAAUCCCCGGGCUUAACCUGGGAACUGCGUUUGAAACUACAAGGCUAGAGUGUGGCAGAGGGGGGUGGAAUUCCACGUGUAGCAGUGAAAUGCGUAGAGAUGUGGAGGAACACCGAUGGCGAAAGCAGCCCCCUGGGUUAACACUGACGCUCAGGCACGAAAGCGUGGGGAGCAAACAGG